AUAGCUUACUGCAGCCUUGACCUCCUAGGCUCAAGCGAUUCUCCUGCCUCAGCUCCUGAGUAGCUGGAACUACAGGUGUGUGCCACCAUGCCUGGCUUGAUGUGCUAAAUCAUACAAGCCCUCCAGCCAGGUAUUGUGGCUCUGCUCCAGGAAGUCAUGCAAUGCCAGGCUCUGUCCACUUCAUUGCUCUGCCAGUUCUAGGGGGCUGACCCCAUCCAGACGGUCCAAGAUGACUCCUCAUCACGACUCAUGCUGUGUUCAGAUGCAGCCUGAUACGGACACUUAAACGAUAUCUCCAGGACCUGGUCCUCUCUCAGCGCGGCUCCCUCAUCCUCUGAAUGAGAAUCUCCUCCGCACCCUCAGACAGGCUCUUCCACCAUGAUUGCAAGAAGAAAGUGAACGUGAUGGCUGGAUCAUGAGCAACAACCCUGGAUAAUGAAGUGGAAGCCACAUGUUGAACAUCUUGGAGCAACCAGAGAAGACAUCUUGCUAGCUCUGGGCAGCAUACCACCAGACUCCUUUUAUUUUAUUUUAUUUUUUGAGAUGGAGUUUCGCUCUUGUUGUUCAGGCUGGAGUGCAAUGGCACAAUCUCGGCUCACCGCAACCUCUGCCUCCUGGGUUCAAGUGAUUCUCCUGCCUCAGCCUCCCGAGUAGCUGGGAUUACAGGCAUGCGCCACCACACCCAGCUAAUUUUGUAUUUUUAGUAGAGAUGGGGUUUCUCCAUGUUGGCCAGGCUGGUCUCAAACUCCCAACCUCAGGUGAUCUGCCCGCCUUGGCCUCCCAAAGUGCUGGGCUGGGUGUCAGCCCUUGCUCUGUGGUGCCCAAUAGGGUUAAUGACAUUUGUGUGGCUGUGCGUCUCCUCUCCUCCGAAUACACUGUGCUCUCUGAGGCAGGAGCCCUGAAGGAAGUUCUCUGAAUCACCUAGCACAUCUAGGGCAGAAGCCCCCUCAGUCCUUGUCUUUUGCUUACUCUUCUGGGUCUUUUUCUGUCAUCCAGAUCUUGCUUUUGCUGUGGAGGAAGAAGACAAGAAACUCUAAAGGAAUUGAAAAGAUGAGAUACGAUCUGAACCUGAAGAAGUGGGCAAUUUGUAAUUGUCAGAGAAACAGAUGUGCACUUCCAGCCCGUGCUGCUGCUGCUAAGGUGCACCCACUCACAAACCCACUUCUCUGAGCACAUGACUCUGCUAGCUCCAUGGGGCUCUGCAGGGAAGGAGUGAGGGAGGGGGAAGAGGCAGAGAGCUGGGUUGUCUGAAAGCUUUCUCCAGGUCUUGCCUUUCUCUUCCCUGGAAGCCAAUGCCCGUGAGGUCAUAUCCAUCACAUUACCUCAGAGAUUGUCAGGAUGGACCCAGUUCCAUCACUCUGAGGCUGAGGGUCUGCCAAACCCCAUUGAGGCUGUACCUGGGAAACCAGACCCUGCCUGUCUCUUUAGGAUCUGGGCGAGUCCAUCCUCCCUCCCUUCUCCCCCAUGAGGCACCAGUGUCCUGAUUGUAUCACAGCUUCAAAAUUCCCUGACUCAUGCCAUCCUCGAUUUUAGAAAAGAGCUUAUUCAAGUGGUGUAGGCUGCACACUCCACCCCCUCCCACUCAAUUCAGCGAUUGAAUUACA
rnacentral:lncRNA from 1 species